UUAAGCGACUAAGCGUACACGGUGGAUGCCCUGGCAGUCAGAGGCGAUGAAGGGCGUGCUAAUCUGCGAUAAGCGCCGGUAAGGUGAUAUGAACCGUUAUAACCGGCGAUACCCGAAUGGGGAAACCCAGUGUGACUCGUCACACUAUCAUUAACUGAAUCCAUAGGUUAAUGAGGCGAACCGGGGGAACUGAAACAUCUAAGUACCCCGAGGAAAAGAAAUCAACCGAGAUUCCCCCAGUAGCGGCGAGCGAACGGGGAGGAGCCCAGAGCCUGAAUCAGCAUGUGUGUUAGUGGAAGCGUCUGGAAAGGCGCGCGAUACAGGGUGACAGCCCCGUACACAAAAGCGCAUGUGCUGUGAGCUCGAUGAGUAGGGCGGGACACGUGGUAUCCUGUCUGAAUAUGGGGGGACCAUCCUCCAAGGCUAAAUACUCCUGACUGACCGAUAGUGAACCAGUACCGUGAGGGAAAGGCGAAAAGAACCCCGGCGAGGGGAGUGAAAAAGAACCUGAAACCGUGUACGUACAAGCAGUGGGAGCACCCUUUGGGGUGUGACUGCGUACCUUUUGUAUAAUGGGUCAGCGACUUAUAUUCUGUAGCAAGGUUAACCGAAUAGGGGAGCCGGAGGGAAACCGAGUCUUAAUUGGGCGUUAAGUUGCAGGGUAUAGACCCGAAACCCGGUGAUCUAGCCAUGGGCAGGUUGAAGGUUGGGUAACACUAACUGGAGGACCGAACCGACUAAUGUUGAAAAAUUAGCGGAUGACCUGUGGCUGGGGGUGAAAGGCCAAUCAAACCGGGAGAUAGCUGGUUCUCCCCGAAAGCUAUUUAGGUAGCGCCUCGUGAAUUCAUCUCCGGGGGUAGAGCACUGUUUCGGCUAGGGGGCCAUCCCGGCUUACCAACCCGAUGCAAACUGCGAAUACCGGAGAAUGUUAUCACGGGAGACACACGGCGGGUGCUAACGUCCGUCGUGAAGAGGGAAACAACCCAGACCGCCAGCUAAGGUCCCAAAGUCAUGGUUAAGUGGGAAACGAUGUGGGAAGGCCCAGACAGCCAGGAUGUUGGCUUAGAAGCAGCCAUCAUUUAAAGAAAGCGUAAUAGCUCACUGGUCGAGUCGGCCUGCGCGGAAGAUGUAACGGGGCUAAACCAUGCACCGAAGCUGCGGCAGCGACGCUGAUGCGUUGUUGGGUAGGGGAGCGUUCUGUAAGCCUGCGAAGGUGGCCUGUGAGGGUUGCUGGAGGUAUCAGAAGUGCGAAUGCUGACAUAAGUAACGAUAAAGCGGGUGAAAAGCCCGCUCGCCGGAAGACCAAGGGUUCCUGUCCAACGUUAAUCGGGGCAGGGUGAGUCGACCCCUAAGGCGAGGCCGAAAGGCGUAGUCGAUGGGAAACGGGUUAAUAUUCCCGUACUUGGUGUUACUGCGAAGGGGGGACGGAGAAGGCUAUGUUGGCCGGGCGACGGUUGUCCCGGUUUAAGCGUGUAGGUGUGUGUUCCAGGUAAAUCCGGUUCACUUUAACACUGAGGCGUGAUGACGAGGCACUACGGUGCUGAAGCAACAAAUGCCCUGCUUCCAGGAAAAGCCUCUAAGCAUCAGGUAACAUCAAAUCGUACCCCAAACCGACACAGGUGGUCAGGUAGAGAAUACCAAGGCGCUUGAGAGAACUCGGGUGAAGGAACUAGGCAAAAUGGUGCCGUAACUUCGGGAGAAGGCACGCUGACACGUAGGUGAAGUGAUUUACUCAUGGAGCUGAAGUCAGUCGAAGAUACCAGCUGGCUGCAACUGUUUAUUAAAAACACAGCACUGUGCAAACACGAAAGUGGACGUAUACGGUGUGACGCCUGCCCGGUGCCGGAAGGUUAAUUGAUGGGGUCAGCGCAAGCGAAGCUCCUGAUCGAAGCCCCGGUAAACGGCGGCCGUAACUAUAACGGUCCUAAGGUAGCGAAAUUCCUUGUCGGGUAAGUUCCGACCUGCACGAAUGGCGUAAUGAUGGCCAGGCUGUCUCCACCCGAGACUCAGUGAAAUUGAACUCGCUGUGAAGAUGCAGUGUACCCGCGGCAAGACGGAAAGACCCCGUGAACCUUUACUAUAGCUUGACACUGAACAUUGAGCCUUGAUGUGUAGGAUAGGUGGGAGGCUUUGAAGUGUGGACGCCAGUCUGCAUGGAGCCGGCCUUGAAAUACCACCCUUUAAUGUUUGAUGUUCUAACGUGGACCCGUGAUCCGGGUUGCGGACAGUGUCUGGUGGGUAGUUUGACUGGGGCGGUCUCCUCCUAAAGAGUAACGGAGGAGCACGAAGGUUGGCUAAUCCUGGUCGGACAUCAGGAGGUUAGUGCAAUGGCAUAAGCCAGCUUGACUGCGAGCGUGACGGCGCGAGCAGGUGCGAAAGCAGGUCAUAGUGAUCCGGUGGUUCUGAAUGGAAGGGCCAUCGCUCAACGGAUAAAAGGUACUCCGGGGAUAACAGGCUGAUACCGCCCAAGAGUUCAUAUCGACGGCGGUGUUUGGCACCUCGAUGUCGGCUCAUCACAUCCUGGGGCUGAAGUAGGUCCCAAGGGUAUGGCUGUUCGCCAUUUAAAGUGGUACGCGAGCUGGGUUUAGAACGUCGUGAGACAGUUCGGUCCCUAUCUGCCGUGGGCGCUGGAGAACUGAGGGGGGCUGCUCCUAGUACGAGAGGACCGGAGUGGACGCAUCACUGGUGUUCGGGUUGUCAUGCCAAUGGCACUGCCCGGUAGCUAAAUGCGGAAGAGAUAAGUGCUGAAAGCAUCUAAGCACGAAACUUGCCCCGAGAUGAGUUCUCCCUGAGACUUAGAGUCUCCUGAAGGAACGUUGAAGACGACGACGUUGAUAGGCCGGGUGUGUAAGCGCAGCGAUGCGUUGAGCUAACCGGUACUAAUGAACCGUGAGGCUUAACCU
rnacentral:rRNA from 1 species